CUGAACCAGCCAAGUAGCGUGAAGGAUGACUGCCCUAUGGGUUGUAAACUUCUUUUACACGGGAAUAAAGUGGAGUAUGCAUACUCCUUUGUAUGUACCGUAUGAAUAAGGAUCGGCUAACUCCGUGCCAGCAGCCGCGGUAAUACGGAGGAUCCGAGCGCUAUCCGGAUUUAUUGGGUUUAAAGGGAGCGUAGGCGGGUGCUUAAGUCAGUUGUGAAAGUUUGCGG
rnacentral:rRNA from 1 species